rnacentral:rRNA from 1 species
AGAGUUUGAUCCUGGCUCAGAACGAACGCUGGCGGCGCGCCUAAUACAUGCAAGUCGAGCGAGAAGACGUAGCAAUACGUUUGUAAAGCGGCGAACGGGUGAGGAAUACAUGGGUAACCUACCCUCGAGUGGGGAAUAACUAGCCGAAAGGUUAGCUAAUACCGCAUACGGCUCCUAGUCUGCGGAUUGGGAGAGAAAGCGAUAUCUUGGAUAUCGCGCUCUUGGAUGGGCUCAUGUCCUAUCAGCUUGUUGGUGAGGUAACGGCUCACCAAGGCUUCGACGGGUAGCUGGUCUGAGAGGACGAUCAGCCACACUGGCACUGCGACACGGGCCAGACUCCUACGGGAGGCAGCAGUAAGGAAUAUUGCGCAAUGGGCGACAGCCUGACGCAGCGACGCCGCGUGGGGGAUGAAGGUCUUCGGAUUGUAAACCCCCUUCGGCAGGGAAGAUGGAACGGGUAACCGUUCGGACGGUACCUGCAGAAGCAGCCACGGCUAACUUCGUGCCGGCAGCCGCGGUAAUACGAAGGUGGCAAGCGUUGUUCGGAUUUACUGGGCGUACAGGGAGCGUAGGCGGUUGGGUAAGCCCUCCGUGAAAUCUCCGGGCCUAACCCGGAAAGUGCGGAGGGGACUGCUCGGCUAGAGGAUGGGAGAGGAGCGCGGAAUUCCCGGUGUAGCGGUGAAAUGCGUAGAGAUCGGGAGGAAGGCCGGUGGCGAAGGCGGCGCUCUGGAACAUUUCUGACGCUGAGGCUCGAAAGCGUGGGGAGCAAACAGGAUUAGAUACCCUGGUAGUCCACGCCU